AGUUUGAUCCUGGCUCAGAACGCAACGCUGGCUGGCGUGCUUAACACAUGCAAGUCGAACGCGAACGUUUCUUUCGAGAAACUAGUAGAGUGGCGCACGGGUGAGUAACGCGUAAGUAACCUACCCUCGCAUUUGGGAUAACACAGCGAAAGCUGUGCUAAUACCGGAUACGUCUGGAAUUAUUCUUUGAUACCAGAGAAAGGUGGCCUCUGAUUUAAGCCACUGUGCGGGGAGGGGCUUGCGUACCAUUAGCUAGUCGGUAGGGUAACGGCCUACCGAGGCGACGAUGGUUAGCGGGUCUGAGAGGAUGAUCCGCCACACUUGGAACUGGAACACGGACCAGACUCCUACGUGGAGGCAGCAGUGAGGAAUAUUGCGCAAUGGGGGCAACCCUGACGCAGCGACGCCGCGUGGAUGAUGAAGGCCUUCGGGGUUGUAAAAUCCUGUCAGAUGGGAAGAAGUGGUAUUUACCCAACACGUAAAUACCUGGACGGUACCAUCAAAGGAGGCACCGGCUAACUCCGGGCAGCAGCCGCGGUAANACGGAG
rnacentral:rRNA from 1 species